UCGGAAUUACUGGGCGUAAAGCGCAUGCAGGUGGUUUGUUAAGUCAGAUGUGAAAGCCCCGGGGCUCAACCUCGGAAUUGCAUUUUGAAACUGGCAAACUAGAGUACUGUAGAGGGGGUAGGAAUUUCAGGUGUAGCGGUGAAAUGCGUAGAGAUCUGAAGGAAUACCGGUGGCGAAGGCGGCCCCCUCGGACAGAUACUGACACUCAGAUGCGAAAGCGUGGGGAGCAAACAGGAUUAGAUACCCUGGUAG
rnacentral:rRNA from 1 species